UUUAAAAAUAGAAAAAGAGAGUUGGAGAUAGGAAUGAAAAUUGGAUCCCUCUCACUCUCCUUUCUCUCUUUCCACGUCGUUCUCUCCCUCUCUCUGCAAUAUCAUCGUCGUCCAUGUUCUCUCUCUCCGUUCAGCUGCAUCCCGCCGCUUGAGCUCUCCGGCGAAGUCACUGGGAUACCAGAAGCUCACAUAACUCACCCCAAGUCCUAAUUUCCCUUAGUUUCUCUCCAUUACAGAGAUUGAGUUUCAAUCCCACUUUAACCCAACAUCCAAAAUAGUUAUAAUUGGGGGCAAACCAGAUUCAAGUGCAUGUAACAAAUGAAAUGACAAGAUCUUGGAGGAGAUGAAUAAUUUAGAAGGAGUUUUAUUGGCAUGAAUCAGAGUAUCGUAGUGAGGAAUCUCACUAGUUGGGCAGCUGCGUCACUGCGUGUGUCUAGUUACUAUCUCUUUUGUCGAUAAAGUUACAGUGGCAUGCUUAGUUGAGGAUUUAUAGACGUGUAUAGUUGGAUAGAUUUUUUUGUUAUAGCAUGUUGCUAAUUCUAUAACAGAGUGUGUAUCUGUAUCUGUAUCUAUCUGUAUCUGUGUGAUAAAAAAAAUAUACAUACAUAUAUAUAUAUAUAUACAUGCGGAAAGUCAGGUUCUUAAUAA